rnacentral:rRNA from 1 species
UAUCCGGAUUUACUGGGCCUUAAAGAGCCCUGAAGCGGUUCCGUAAAGUGGACGUGAAAGCUCCCGGCUCAAACUGCGAGAGCCCGUUCAAUACUGGGGACUUGAGGACAACAGAGGGGGGUGGAAUUCCCGGUGUAAUGCGUGAAAUGCGUAGAUAUCGGGAGGAACACCAGUGGCGAAGGCGGCCCCUGGGCUGAUCCUGACGCUGGAGGCAAAAGCUAGGGGAGCGAACGGGAUUAGGAACCCCGGUAGUCCUAGCCGUAAACGAUGGAUACUAGGUNUGGGAGGCGAAAAAACUUCCGUGCCGUAGCUAACGCGCUAAGUAUCCCGCCUGGGGACUACGGCCGCAAGGCUAAAACUCAAAGGAAUUGACGGGAGCCCGCACAAGCAGCGGAGCGUGUGGUUUAAUUCGAUGCUACGCGAAGAACCUUACCAGGGCUUGACAUGCAAGUAGUAGUGAAGCGAAAGCGGAACGACCCUUCGGGGAGCUUGCACAGGUGCUGCAUGGCUGUCGUCAGCUCGUGCCGUGAGGUGUUAGGUUAAGUCCUGUAACGAGCGCAACCCCUACUGUCAGUUACAUGUGUCUGGCGGGACUGCCCGGCUCAACCGGGAGGAAGGUGGGGAUGACGUCAAGUCAGCAUGGCCUUUAUGUCCUGGGCUACACACACGCUACAAUGGCCGGUACAAUGGGUAGCCAAGCCGCGAGGCGGAGCCAAUCCUCCAAAGCCGGUCUCAGUUCGAAUUGUAGGCUGCAACUCGCCUACAUGAAGCUGGAGUUGCUAGUAACCGCAGGUCAGCCACACUCGCGGUGAAUACGUUCCCGGGCUUUGUACACACCGCCCGUCACGUCAUGGGAGUCGGCAACACCUGAAGCCGGUGGCCAACCGAAAGGAGGCAGCCGUCGAAGGUGG